rfam:Aedes aegypti strain Liverpool supercont1.128 genomic scaffold, whole genome shotgun sequence.
GGGGUUAUAGCCCAGUGGUAGAGCAUUCGACUGCAGAUCAAGAGGUCGCCAAUUCAAACCCGGGUGCCCCCU